rnacentral:rRNA from 1 species
ACGGAGGGUGCAAGCGUUAAUCGGAAUUACUGGGCGUAAAGCGCGCGUAGGCGGCUUGUUAAGUCGGAUGUGAAAGCCCCGGGCUCAACCUGGGAACUGCACCCGAUACUGGCAAGCUAGAGUACGAGAGAGGGGGGUAGAAUUCCAUGUGUAGCGGUGAAAUGCGUAGAUAUAUGGAGGAAUACCGGUGGCGAAGGCGGCCCCCUGGCUCGAUACUGACGCUGAGGUGCGAAAGCGUGGGGAGCAAACAGG